rnacentral:lncRNA from 1 species
CUAAGUUCAACCCCAGUGAGAUCAAAUUCAUACACCUGGGGUGUACUGGGGGUGAAGUCAGUGCCACAUCUGCACUGGCUCCCAAGAUCAGCCCCCUAGGUCUGUCUCUAAAAGUUGAUGAUGACAUUGCCAAGGCAAUCAGUGACUGGAAGCGUAUGAGGAUUACAGUGAAACUGACCAGAACAGACAGGCCCAGAUUGAGGGGGUACCUUCUGCCUCUGCUCUCAUCAUCAAAGCCCUCGACAAACUGCCAAAAGGCAGAAAGAAACAGAAAAACAUUAAACACAGCGGAAAUAACACUUUU